UACGUAGGGGGCAAGCGUUGUCCGGAAUCAUUGGGCGUAAAGCGCGUGUAGGCGGCUCGAUAAGUCUGCUGUAAAAGUCCAGGGCUCAACCCUGGAAAGCCGGUGGAAACUGUCGAGCUAGAGUCCGGAAGAGGCGAGUGGAAUUCCUGGUGUAGCGGUGAAGUGCGCAGAUAUCAGGAAGAACACCCGUGGCGAAGGCGGCUCUCUGGGACGGUACUGACGCUGAGACGCGAAAGCGUGGGGAGCGAACAGG
rnacentral:rRNA from 1 species